GACGAACGCUGGCGGCGUGGAUUAGGCAUGCAAGUCGAACGGUAGGAUACCUUCGGGUAUCUGAGAGUGGCGAACGGGUGAGUAACACGUAGGUGAUCUACCCUCAAGAUUGGGACAACCCAGGGAAACUUGGGCUAAUACCGGAUGAAAGCAGCAGUGAUGUUGUUUGAAAGGUGGCGUAAGCUGCCGUUUGGGGAUGAGCCUGCGCUCUAUUAGUUAGUUGGCGGGGUAAAGGCCCACCAAGGCGAUGAUAGAUAGGGCGGCCUUAACGGGGUGGUCGCCCACACUGGGAUUGAGAUACGGCCCAGACUCCUACGGGAGGCAGCAGUCGAGAAUAGUCUACAAUGGCCGAAAGGCUGAUAGCGCGACGCCGCGUGAACGAAGAAGCCCUUCGGGUGUAAAGUCUUUUAUAUGUGAGCAGUGCUUUCUAUGUGAACAGCAUGGGGAAGGAGAUAUUAGCUAUAUGAAUAAGCAAGGCUAAACUCCGUGCCAGCACG
rnacentral:rRNA from 1 species